rnacentral:rRNA from 1 species
UCGACUAAGCCAUGCAGUCAGAGCACCUAGAGUGCUCGGCAAACGGCUCAGUAACACGUAGCUAACCUACCUUAUGGUGGCGGAUAACCUUGGGAAACUGAGGGUAAUACGCCAUAGUUGAUUAUUACUGGAAUGUAUUUUCGACAAAAGCUUUCGAGCGCCAUAAGAUGGGGCUGCGGCUGAUUAGGUUGUUGGUGGGGUAAUGGCCCACCAAGCCAUUGAUCAGUACGGGCUCUGAGAGGAGUAGCCCGGAGAAGGGAACUGAGACAAGGUCCCUAGCCCUACGGGGUGCAGCAGGCGCGAAACCUUUACAAUGCACGAAAGUGUGAUAAGGGGAUUCCACGUGCAGACUAUGUCUGCUUUUCUCAAGUUUAAAAUCCUUGGGGAAUAAGGGCUGGGCAAGACCCGUGCCAGCCGCCGCGGUAAUACGGGCAGCUCAAGUGGCGUUCGCGAAUAUUGGGCCUAAAGCGUGCGUAGCCUGUUAAACAAGUUCUUGGUGAAAGCUUGCGACUUAAUCGUGAGAAUGGCCAGGAAAACUGUUUGACUUGGGACCGGAAGAGGUCGGAGGUAUUCUUGGGGUAGGGGUAAAAUCCUGUAAUCCUUAGAGGACCAUCGGUGGCGAAGGCGUCCGACUGGGACGGGUCCGACGGUGAGGUACGAAAGCUAGGGGAGCGACCCGGAUUAGAUACCCGGUUAGUCCUAGCCGUAAAUGAUGUCUGUUUGGUAUUGCUGGGCUUACGAGGCCUCGCAGUGCCGUAGGGAAGCCGUUAAACAGACCGCCUGGGGAGUACGCCGCAAGGCUGAAACUUAAAGGAAUUGGCGGGGGAGUACUACA